CUGAAGUGACUUGUAAGUGCGCAGGAAACAAAGUUAACACACACUUUCACCAUGGAGUUUUUUGCUGUUUCUUGUGCCUCGUGCGUGGAAGUUCUUUAGCAUGUUCCUCAAACUUUGUGGAGAUAUACCCCCUCUGGAUUAGCCGUAUUCUUGUGCCUCAUGUGGAGGAAUGUGCUGUGUGUCCUGUGGACAUUUUCUGAACUUGUUACGCUGGCAACUGUGAACUAGCAGUGCAACAUUGAGCUGGAUUUGACCCAGCGCCCAGCCGAUCUUGCCUCCAUUUUUUUGCACGCCGCAAACACGUGUCUCGCGCGCGCGACAAGAGCACUGGAUCCUUGGCCUUGGAACAAUCACAGUCAGCAGAGCAGAGUUAAGCGCCAGCAAGUAGCUUUCGCCAGUUUCGGUGAGUCGAUUCCUUGAACACUUACUGUGUGGAAGUUAGCACGAAGUUCCCACAUAAUUUAUGCACGAUUUAAAGAAACUGACCCUUAUCAAAUAUCGACAUCCCUAUAUUUAAAUGGAUGAAUCUAUUAUGUAGCGUGAGCACUCUUGGUGCUGUCCAUGGAAACAUAUGAAUACAUGUAUAUAGUUCUUGCAUACAUGAAACCUUUCUAUGGGUGCAUUCGAUUAACUUACACGUGUAAGUCAAACCAGAGCGUUCGUACGUUUAGCCAUCACGUGAUCUUUGUGCCUGCCCUGGUGUCAGCACUACCCCGGCUAGCGAGCGGGGCCAUGGAGGCUGCCCAAGUGUAAUGGCAUCAAGGAUGGACUGUUCGAACAUGGCCAUAAUGGAAUUAACAUUGCAGCAACUUGAAGUUAAGCACCUAUUGUCAGACAGUUGUAAUUCAAGAUAGAGACGUGAAAAGUUACCGUGUCUCAUUGGAGGCACCAAGUGCUAGAAGGUUGACAGAAAGAGAUUCAGAGUUUGCAGAGCUUAUUCUGAGGAAAAUUAAAGAGGCUGCUUUAGUACCCAGGAGCCAUUCUGUGAGUCAACCAGCAAAAAAGUAUGAGUGGUCACUGCACCCACAGUACCCAGGAGCCAUUCUAAAGUCUCACCUCUCCAUUCGCCAGCAUGCUCAACCGUGGCAACAAAAGGAAACAUGCCCAGGGUUCAUGCAUAGAAAUAGGAUCCAGCACCAGACGUGAAUGGUUGGAUGGUGAAACCCGUCAGCUCCUUGACAUAAUGACCAGGUCUGAAGAGUCUGAAGAGAAACUCAAAGAGUCUAAUUUAAAAAACCUGUCUCGAAGCAAGAAAUGGGCAUACCAGCUGAAAAGUGCAAAGACAAAGUGGAAAGUUUGAAGAGGUCCUACAGGAACCAUGUCCAGGCUUGAAAAAGACAGAGGCAACUCAACGAGUCACUUCAUCAAAUGGGCUACAGAAAUGCAGGUCCUUAUGGGAAGUGACCCCACUGUGAAGCCAGUAUACACGUGUGACAGCAAACUAAAUGAAGUGAACAACCUGGGUAACUCAUCUGAUGAUGAAUCAACCAAUGAGCCUAAACUAACACCAAGAAAAAAGAAAACCAGGAUCCAUGGUUUGAUGCAUCAAAAGUUAAGUCAGAUGAUGGAUUAUAGGCCUAUGGAAGAAAGGGAUCACCAAUUCCUUUCUUUCAUGAAAUCUGUCUAUGAAGACAACAAAAUCUUGAUGCAACAACUUAUUAAGAAAAUGUAAGGAUAGAAGCAUGUUGUUCAUGUUAUUAUCAGCACUUCUACCGAAGAAAGACAUUUUCCUCCUGCAGUUGCUUGACUUGUGUUAUCUUUUUGAAAGUUAUUGUUGAUGGGACAGUAGUUAGUUUCAUAUUAGACAUUUACAUUCCCAUUGGUUUUUACAGCAAACGUCUGAUUUUUCUUGACACAGUGGACAUUCUAAUAGAAUUGUACAGCAAAUGACUGUUUUUUACAAACCAAUAAGAAUGUCCAAUAUCGACCAAAAUCAGACAUUUGCUGUACAGUCCCAUGGAAAUGUCCAGUGUCCAAUAUCAAACUAAAUUUACUGUCGUGUUGUUGACAUGCUUUUUACAAAUCUUAAACAUCUUGUAAGAAACUUUUGGAGAAGUACAAUGCCUUGUUACCGACACCUUUUUGUUUGUAUUUAAAAGUUGAACAUACAUUUUAUUCCUUUAUGAAAAAAGAAAAAAGUUAACUUAUCACACUAGUACUGGGAUUUGCAAAUAUAUUGAGCAUAUCCAAUUUAAACGUUUUCCCAGAAAAAGCUGUGAAAGAUGGAAAUAUUCAGUGUUAUUUAAUUUAGGGUUUUUGCCUACCCAACAUAUAUUGAAAAUUUACGUCCGUCGUCGGGUAGGGCAAAAACCCAAAAUCAAAUUAAGUACUCCCUCAGUUGUACACACACAUUAUCACGUGUAUCAGUACAACUUUUGCUUAAUGACAAACUUACAAAUCGUAUGCGGGAUCGACACCCCAGGAACACACGCAGUGAAUUGUAUUCAAGAUGGCUGCUGAAGUAAACGGGCUAGCGGGAGGUUUCAGGGUUUACAGCGGUAUUCUGGUGCUGAAAAUCCAAAAAUAAACCGAGCAACUACAUGUAUAGGAAAACAAACGUCACAAAUGACAUAUCACAACUGGUAAAUAGAUGUACAAACACACACAAUUCCGUAUAGGUGCAUACGCCCAUGCAAAAUACGAUAAUUCUUCCAAAUAUCGACUCAAAUUACGAACAAAUAUACACGACAGUGUUGCAUUAAGUUUCCCAAGUCCCGUAAGAAAAGGUAUAAAUAACUACACAGUGAUUUCAAAUAUACAUUAUGGCACAUUUUCUAUCUUAAACACGAAAAAACGCAAGUGAACUGAGUGUCUUCAGCUUCCGACGGCGUUCAAGGAAGGCUGACCCGAAUUGGAAUUUCCCGCACUGAUAUACUCAGUAAGAUCACAUGACUUAAUCUGCAUUGCAAAUUACAUACCAAUAAAUAAUAAUACAUAAAGGAAUGUAAGAACCGUGUGGCCUGACAUCGUAUGCAAAUUUAACCGAGUCAUAAAAAACUUUCAAAGGCAACAAUUCGCACAAGUCGAACCCAGCUGGACUAGAGAUACUGUACAAUGCAAAUUACACUACACCAAAUUCGUUACAAGGAAAACAACUUAUCGGCGACGAUAACACCCUGUUAUAGUGUAACUUAUGACUGGCCUUCAAGGGACUUACGAGUGGCUUUGUGAAGGGACCCGUGAUUCAACUUGUGAACACUGUAAGAAACAAAGGUUCACAUGCACCCAUAUUGAUACAAUAGCAGCACUGAUUGUAAAUGGUGCAGACUUCAAUUGCACUUCAGUUUGGGUGUAUGUGUCCCUACGUUGGAGUAUGCACACCUACAGGGGAGUAUACACCAAAUACUGUGGUCAGAUUUGUACUUCAAUUGGUGCUGCUGUUGUGUCAAUUAUAGGGGUACAAAUUUGAACCAUAACUUCUUAGAGUAAGGGAUUUGUGAAAGGACUUGUGAUAGACUCAAAUUCAACAUCGGUUACUAGGGUUUAAGUGUGCCAUGUGUU